UUUUACAAAAGAAAAGAAAAAUAUCAAUCGAUGGUGCAAAUGGUAAGAAAUUUGCUCAACAAAUGGAAGAGCUUUCGACGGUCACAUUCUCCUGGCGAGAGACGUCGCAACGCGGACGACGCCUGCGCGAAAAUAACGAACGAUUUCGUUUUGGUUUCCGUGGCAGCCCUCGAUAAUUGGUGAAUGGCUCGAUAGAUACACGCAAUCCUUGGUAAUCGUGAAAUUGCAUGCAGGAAGAUUUUUAAAUAUUCAAAUCCACUCGGCCAUUAAUCAAUGUCAACCCUUAUUAUUCGAUUCUAUCAGUUGUAGACAAUAAACUUUAUACUGAGAUAAUAAAUUUCACCGGGCCAACAGAUUAAUC
rnacentral:misc_RNA from 1 species